AGCUGCAGAAAUUAGAGAAUCCAAUGCAAAACUUUCCUUCUUGAGUAUACAACCAAACACCCUUUCUGCAUGCAUUCUGAUUUUUUCCAUUUCCAUGUCAAUAAAUACAACUAGGCAUUUGUUAGAUAAAGACCAACAACUUCAAUCAAAAGGACACAUGCCUUUGCCACCGCCACACUCUCACAUUCCUAAACCGAACUACCUCUUUACCGGAAACUAAACCGAUCAUCUCUCUGCCGGAAACCACCUUCACUGUAACAGUCUGAUCAUUACCAUUUCAUCUCUUUCGAUACUCAUGGUCGGUCAAGUUGAUUCUGUUCGGAUCUGUAGGGAUUUGAACUCUCAACAAUCUCUAUUUACGUCAAUUUCAGUAACCUAAUCACGCUUGCAAAGGGCGAUGUAUGUGGUUAAUUUCACUCCACUUAAUAACAAAACCGAUUUGGAAGAGUGGUGUUGUUGCUAAUAUUUUCAUCAAGGUAAAUGAUGGCAUCCAGGAUUGAUGGGACUAUAUGUUGUCUUGCUUUGUUGGUGUGCAUUUAGAAGUGAACCAGAUGGAGAUCAAUGCAUGAGGAAGACAGGCACCGUAACCAAAAUAGACUGGAAAAACAUCAUUAGCUUUGUUAUUGGAAUACUAGCAAUUGGAAUACUAGCAAUAGUUAUUGCAACAUUUUCUACAGGCAUAGAUUCCAAAUAAUUUCAGUUUUCAAGGCUUUUGGGGAAUCUGACAGCAGGAAUGGCCAAGAGUUAGCUCUCUGCGUGAUUGGCAUGUCUACCCAAGGUGGGAGCCUCAGAACUUGGCAAGGGCCGUGCUCUCAUUGGCACCUGAAGGAGUGGACCUUCUCUCGGUCAGUAUUCCUUUCCUUGAUUAAUUUUGCUUUUUGUUUGUAAGUUCAUAUGCCUCUUGAUAAAUUGUUAUUUGCAAAAUAGAAAUUAGAAACCAUAAUGGAUUAUCUUUAUAAGUAUCAUUUAUUUAUGAGUAUCAUUUCUGCAUUGAGAAAAUUUAACUAAUUCAAAAUAUGUUCUUUUCAAAAAAAUUACAUUUUAAACCGAUAAUGAUAAUAUCUGUUGUUGAUCACAAGGGUGUUCUACUCUUUGUUUUACCCCCAAUGUUACUUUCCCCGCUUAAUCAGUUCCAAGAUGUUAGCCAUUCAUCGAUGCAUUGUAGUAUAUCUUAAACCUUAUAAUCUUUUUUCAAAUAUUAUAACCCGUUGCUCUAUUUUUUUAUCUUUCAAAAUUUGUACCAAUAAAUUUUUAGAAAUUGGAUAUGUGCUUAUUAUUUUUCAAAAAUUACAAUUAGAUCCCUAAAUUUUCAGCGAGUUUCGUAAAAGUUUUGUGACAUGCAUGAAGUUAUGUGGUGUUCAUUCAAAUACUACCCAUAAGUAUCUAUUUUCUUAAAAGAUUUUUGGUUACUUACCACAAUUUGAAUUUUGAGUUAGAACUUAAAAUCUUUUUCAAAUUUUAUAUGUUGCUAAAUUUUUUCAUGUUUUUCAAAUUUGCAUCAAUAUAUUUUUAAAAAUUAGAUGUGUGCAUAUUAGUUUUCAAAACUUACAACUAGAUCCCUCAUUUUAAAAAAUUUGAGUUAUUUUCGUGAAAGUUUACAACAUGCAUGAAGUUACACUUUAUUCAUUCAUAUACAACCUAUAAGCAUUUAUUUUUGAGUUUUAAUAUCUAGAAAUAGUAGCAAAAUUUUAAGUUUGAAAAUAUUUGGAUUCAUGAAAUCUUUAAAAGUUCAAAACUUUGGAUUUAAAAGAGUUUUUUUUUAUCGAAACAUUUUGAG